AAGAAAAAAUGAAAGAAGAAAAGGGAAGAAGAAGAAAAGAGAUUUUUGAGAUGAAUACUACUUGGAGCUUAAGUUAUUGAUUCUUGAAUUUCUAUCUACAUUAAGGUGGUGACGAGGAGAUUGGAAGAGCCUAUCGAUCAUCUUAGGUUCAGCUUGUGUUAUGUGAGCGG